GGGGCAUUGGCGCAGUUGGUAGCGCGUUUGAAUGGCAUUCAAAAGGUCAGGGGUUCGAAUCCCCUAUGCUCCACCA
rnacentral:tRNA from 1 species